ensembl:snoRNA
AUCCUCAGAGACGUAGAUAGCGAUGGGCACUGUUGUUCGUGGUGUCCAGGAAUUGUGAAUGUGGCCACCUGGAGACACAGGGGAUGCGUCUGUUGUAGCACGUUUACUGCACGGGUCACAAUGACACCUGCCCCGUUU